AUGAAUGCGGUGGGGAGACAGAUGGCGCGAUCCAAUUCGGCGAUGCAGCAACAGCGCCAGUACUCGGAGGCCUUCUUCGCCGACGCGUCGUCCAAGUGGCUCCAGUCCUCUGGCCUCUCGCAGGAUUUUGAGGUGUACGGGUCGAGAUUGAGCCGGAGAAGCGGGAAUGAUCGGUCGCCGGAGGCAUCGGUGACUGUGUCGCGGUCGUCGAGUAUGAGAAGGCUUGGGGAUGAUCCGGUUGAGUAUAGCCCUGGCUUGCUUGAUCUGCAUUCUUUUGAUACGGAGCUGUUACCUCAGGUUUGAAUUUCUAUCACUAUGCAUGUUCGUGGGAAGAGUUUCGAUGACUCUGAGCCGUUUGUCUCCAGCAACAAAGUUACAGGCAGAUCACGAGGUUUGCCUGAGAAUAAUCUUCUCAAGAGUGUGUCAGUAGAUAAAGAGAGGGCCAAUAAUGUUGCCAAGAUCAAAGUUGUGGUGCGCAAGAGGCCACUAAAUAAAAAGGAGAUGACAAAGAAAGAGGAAGACAUCAUUACGAUAGAACCAAAUUCUAAUGCUCUCACGGUUCAUGAAACAAAACUCAAGGUGGACUUAACAGCUUAUGAGGAGAAGCAUGAAUUUUUUUUUGAUGCUGUUCUGGAUGAAGAUGUCACGAAUGAUGAAGUAUACUUUGAAAGUGUGGAACCCAUAGUUCCGCUGAUCUUCCAACGAACAAAAGCAACUUGCUUUGCGUAUGGGCAAACAGGCAAUGGGAAGACUUAUACCAUGCAACCACUGCCCCUUAAAGCAUCCCAAGAUAUCUUAAGGCUAAUGCUUAAUUCCUACCGAAACCAAGGCUUUCAGUUAUUUGUGAGUUUCUUCGAGAUAUACGGAGGAAAACUUUUUGAUCUCCUAAAUGAUCGGAAGAAACUUUUCAUAAGGGAGGAUGGUAAACAGCAAGUAUGUAUUGUUGGCUUGCAAGAGUACAGGGUGUCAGAUGUUGAGACAGUCAAGGUGUUGAUUGAGAAAGGAAGUUCCACAAGAAGUACUGGCACAACUGGUGCAAAUGAAGAAUCUUCCCGAUCACAUGCGAUACUUCAGCUUUGUAUCAAGAGAUCAGCUGAUGGAAAUGAAUCAAAGCCUGCCAGACUUGUAGGAAAGCUAUCUUUCAUAGACCUUGCUGGAAGUGAACGCGGUGCAGAUACUACAGAUAAUGAUAAACAAACAAGAAUGGAAGGUGCUGAAAUUAAUAAAAGCUUACUUGCUUUAAAAGAAUGCAUCAGAGCUCUUGACAACGACCAAGGCCACAUUCCUUUCAGAGGGAGUAAACUGACCGAAGUUCUUAGAGAUUCAUUUGUUGGCGACUCGCGCACAGUUAUGAUAUCAUGCAUUUCACCAAGCUCAGGAUCAUGUGAACACACUCUUAACACACUAAGAUAUGCUGACAGGGUGAAGAGUUUGUCGAAAGGGAACAGCUCCAGAAAGCAACAACUACCUUCAUCUUCAAACCUUAGAGAGUCAACAACAUUGCCCUUGUCUUCAUUAACUGACACAACCUAUGAGGAUAACAAGCCUUCUGUUCCCCAAGAAAAGGGCAGCUUUGGUUGGUCCAAACAGGUUGACCGAGAACCGUCCCCCCAGUGUAAUGUGAAUCGCGUACCCAGUGGGAGGGCAGAAGUACGCUUGCCUGCAUCUGUAUAUUCAGAUUACUACAACGAUCAGAUAGGUGGUCAAAGUACCAUAGGCGAAGAUGAUUUUGACUGCUCUGAUCAGACUUAUGAGAAAGAGAAAGCAUCAUGGGUGAGUAGUAAGAAGGUACAAAGCUAUCAGACAUCAGCUGUGGAGGAAAAGAGAAAGACUGGCAGUCAGGUGAAAUGGAGGGAUCAGCCUGAUUCUGAGGCUAUCAACUCUAAUUCCGAUGAUGAUCUUAUUGCUGUGUUGCAGGAAGAGGAUGACCUUGUGACUGCACACCGAAGACAAGUAGAGCAGACAAUAGAUAUUGUUAGGGAGGAGAUGAAUUUGCUGGUCGAAGCUGAUCAACCAGGCAAUCGACUCGAUGAUUAUAUCUCCAAAUUGGAUGCCAUACUCUCUCAGAAGGCGGCAGGAAUUCUACAACUGCAGAAUCAGCUGGCUCAAUUCCAGAAGCAUCUAAACGAGCACAAUGUCUUGGUAUCAUCUACAAGUAAAUGAUAUAAGCUGGGAGAAAGAGAAGUCAGCAUUGGCACGAGGAUUUCCUGACGAAGUUGAUAUGAUGUUUCUUCGUUUUCCUUGCCUGAGUGUGCUUGUACAGAAAACUCCUCGUUAACUUAUGGAAACCACCUAUCUAAAAAGGCUUGUUUCAGGUAGAGGGCUAAAUCUUGUUUCUGUUUAACAUAUUUCAAAUCUUUUGAAGUGUAAGCUAUGAGCUAUGAGAAUGAUAUGUUCGCAUUUGUUCGUGUCCAUAUUUUGUAAACCUGUGUCUGUAAUUUUAUCGAGUAUGUGAAACAAUUGUUUGGGUUUAUCUAUGGUAUUUAUUUGUUCAACUAUCAAAA